UACGGGGGGGGCAAGCGUUGUUCGGAAUUACUGGGCGUAAAGGGGUCGUAGGCGGCCAACUAAGUCCGACGUGAAAUCCCAAGGCUUAACCUUGGAACUGCGUCGGAUACUGGAUGGCUUGAAUUCGGGAGAGGGAUGCAGAAUUCCAGGUGUAGCGGUGAAAUGCGUAGAUAUCUGGAGGAAUACCGGUGGCGAAGGCGGCAUACUGGACCGACAUUGACGCUGAGGAGCGAAAGCGAGGGGAGCAAACAGG
rnacentral:rRNA from 1 species